rnacentral:lncRNA from 1 species
GCCACCCUGGCGACGUCCAACCGAGUGCCCUGAGCGCUGCCCGAACACGAGCAGCUCUGCCCAGGAAGCGACUCCAAACCCAAUCAUCUCCACUGUUUUUGUUAAACAUCUUUAGGGAAGCCUGGGAGACCUGCUCUGCCGAACGUGGUCCAAAUCCUCAUGGAGACAGGCGCACCAGAUCCUGCACCCAGGAGCUGGGACGCCGCUGGCAUGGGCCUGCUUAGGACUGUUCAGCAUCUCCUCACGCCAUUGCCCGACCCGCUAAUCAGCUUGAGGAGAAAGGAGAGAGGAAAUGCCGUCCUUUGACAAGAUGUGGGAAACCACCUCGGUUUGUACUUGGUGUGGCUGUGACCGGCAAACAAAGAACCCUCCCCGGCUCUGGGGCCAAGUUUCCAAUAAACUUUUCCCUGAGCACUUUC